UGUUGCCCUUCAGAGGUGGUGCCGGAAGGAUCAGGGGCGAAGCCAACAUAGAGAAGGAGGCGAUUGUGAUCGCAGCUAAGGGAAGCAAAAGCACGUGGAGGGGCAUUCCUCAGCCUACUGGUACAUGUCAUUCUUCCAGCAAGCGGCGCCAGUUCCAAAAUGAAGAUUUGCUUAAUUGUGAAAGGAUGUUUUGUCUCAAACUCUAUAUGGUCCAAGAUAUACAAUCAUUUCUUGAAAAUCAUAUUACUUCCAUCCCAAAAAGCUUGUCUUAGAUUUGUAUAAAUGCGGAUGUUGGUUCCCUGCUCUAGUUCUUGUAAGCUGAAAAUCUGCGUUCUUUCUGCAGUAUCUUUGUUUGAAGAGAUUAACGGCUGGCAAAGACUAAGUCUCCUCUGGUGUGCAUCAAUCAAGGGUUACAUGUAGUUCUACUUAUGCCCAGCCCGGCAAGGUAGCGGGUAUAUAUGGAAGAAGCUAUGUUGUUAAUCUGUUAUAUCGUGAUUUAAGACCAGCAAAUGGCUAUCUUCAUGCAAACAGAGUUAGGCAUUAACUGA